AUUGAACGCUGGCGGCAGGCCUAACACAUGCAAGUCGAGCGGAUGAAGGGAGCUUGCUCCUGGAUUCAGGGGCGGACUGGUGAGUAAUUCCUAGGAAUAUGCCAGGUAGUUGGGGAUAACGUCCGCAAACGGGCGCUAAUACCGCAUACGUCCUGAGGGAGUAAGUGGGGGAUCCUCGGACCUCACGCUAUUAGACGAGCCAAGUUCGGAUUAGCUAGUUGGCGGGGUAAAGGCCUACCAAGGCGACGAUCCGUAACUGGUCUGAGAGGAUGAUCGGCCACACUGGAACUGAGACACGGUCCAGACUCCUACGGGAGGCAGCAGUGGGGAAUAUUGGACAAUGGGCGAAAGCCUGAUCCAGCCAUGCCGCGUGGGUGAAGAAGGACUUCGGAUUGUAAAGCACUUUAGGUUGGGAAGAAGGGCAGUACGUUAAUACCUCGCUGUUUUGACGUUACCAAAAGAAUAAGCACCGGCUAACUUCGUG
rnacentral:rRNA from 1 species